AUUAACGAGAGAAAAUGUACUAUAUGGUGACACGGUCGGAGGGAUUCAAAGGAUUUUCUCACGCAACGUGACAUUAAGACGGAUUCUUUCUCGACUAUUACACUUGGAGCGAUUUCUCUUCUUAAUCGCAAUGUAUGUCCUCCAAUCUACGUCCUUGAGCAGAAGAACGGCCGAUCGAUACUACGCAAUCCUCGAUAACCUCUUUGAUUAGAAGAAUUCAACAAGAAAGAGCCAGACGGCGCCAGCCUUGCCGGAGAAAAAGCGAUCGUGUGAGGCGUUCUAAUGCUCGAAUACCAACAAGCUUAUGUAUUUCUAGAUGGUAGAAUCGUUGAGCUCGUUCGAUCGAUGUUGACAGUUAUACGAAUACCUACGAUCGCGUGGAUCGUUGGAUCGAUUAAAACAUUUUGUCGACGCAACUUGCAUCGUAAAAAUAUCGAAUCCCGAUCGAAGAAAUACACUAAUACGCUGAUACUGAUCCCAUUUAUUUCCCGGCGUCUAACUUUUAUUCGCGGUUCUGCAAUUAAAUCGCGUAUUAUCGAGCAUAAGCAAACGUGUGUGUGCGAAUACUUUUGAACGAUAGUAUACGUCGAAAAUGCAGUACGAAGCAGCGAUUUCAGAAGCCGUUAACAUCGUUGUAAUUAAAGCAAUUAUCGAUAGACACCAAGUUUUUAGCGCAUGAUGGACACAAAUUGCGGAGACGAGAAUACUAGCAGAUGGGUAUUGCAACUAUUAUGUCGUGAGAAACUAUGCGAUUAAUUUCCUGCUCCGCAAGUUGCUGGCGUUACCAACAUACCUAAGUUACAGUAGCAAGAACCACGUAAAAGCGUACACAUCCUCGAUGAUGUUCUGUCAAAGACGAGUCAGAGAAACAUCCGAUUUUCAAACUUCCGCCAGUGAUGAUCCAUCCGAUUAAAAAAUUACAAAUUCUAGUAUUUACAUUGCUGAAAAUUACUACGUGAUCUACUACGAGAUUUUUAUCGACGAGAAAGACAAUCGUGCCUAUCUUUGAUUGUUUUCUUUUCCACUUGGUUUACCGCUUUUAUAUGCGUCGAUAGCACGUUGAAACUCAUCGUUCCCAUCAGAACGAUUCUCAUCGCUUACACCAUCAAGGUCGACUGGUGGUGUUUAUAGCAGAAAGAUGGAUAGUUACUCGAAGCUAUUUAAGCAGUGCAUUAGCUGCAAUCGAGGUUUCAUUAAAAGCAUCGGAUUAUGCCUCGAAUCAAUGGAUCGGCGUAAUGGAAUCGAAAAAACGAAUAGUGGAAUAAGAGACGUACGAUGAAAAAGGACGAGCAUGUGUUAAUAACGAUAUAAGAGGAACGAGUUUGCGUGGCAGUACAAUUCGAUGAAGAUGGUGCGUAGGUAUGGUAGCACACACAGGACCAAACAACGGCUCUUUAAAUAGGUACGUUUAACCUCGAAACCAUUGGAAAAAUAAUGCAAUUUUCAAGCCUGAAAGCUAUAUAUUAUCGUUUGAAUUAAAUUCACUGGAUAAUAGCCGCAUGCAAUCUAUAAACUAAUAAAUCAUUAUGCUUUUUAGAUCAUCGAGCAACCAAACCUCCUGGAUCACUGUGUUAUGCUUGUGUUUUCUAUCUUGUAUUUAUUAUAUUUUUGUUAUGCUGUUCGCCGUAGUUAUGGUUGAAUCGCGCUGGAAUGUAGGGAGUUUAAGACUUGCUUAGCGAAGAUUUGCAAUAGGUAACACCCGCGCGUUCUCCCUCUCUUGGUAACUUCGCAAUAAUCCCUUCUGCCAAAGAGUUGCCAGCUGCAGUCGUCCGUAUCUUGUCUGCAGUCGCCGCGCACACUUGGGAACACCAUGGCGUGUCGGGAAUGCGGAAAGGACGAGUUUCUUCUACUUUUGUUGCACGUAUCUACCUGGUAACCUGAGACACGGUGAUGCGGUGGCUCUUCGAAAACCGCGUUCGCUUCUAGAAUCUUUGAGACCAGGGUUGUAUUUGUCCUUAUCAGAUCCAAAGACUUCCUUGUUUAGGCAACGCUAGUUAAGUUGCUUACUAUACACAACUACAACAAACGAGUAAAUUCGAGACUCGCGAAACGAAACCAACGGACUUGUUAUAAUUAGAGCAUCACCGUUAUAUCUAUGCGCAUAUGCGAUAAUAACGUCGAUAGAGUAUAAGACGGAACAAGCAUGUUCAUAUAGCAAACGUUCAAAUUAGGUUGGUGCAAAUGAAAUGUCUCUUUGUUAAAUGAAACUUUAACCGUACUUUCUUAAACAUUAUACAUAUAUUUCGAGAACUUUAUACAUAUAUUUGAUCGAAGCCAUUUUUACGUGAUUCGAUGCACUUUCUCGAUGAUUGUCUUUUAAUAAAAAAAAAAAAGUAGUGUACGAAAAAUAAUAUUUGAUACUUUCGAUUAUCGCUUGUUAUGAAGAUGUACGAGGCGAAUUUAUUCGAUCACACGAAUCGGUAUGUUGCAAGCAUACUUCGGAUGAAAUGUUUUCGUGUCCAAGAGCAAGAGUCUGCGAAGAGUCAAGGAUGUCAUUUUGUUUUCUCAAUAAUAUUUUUACUUCGUUACCUCUCCAAGUUUAAUAGCUUCCUUUAAACACGGUAUAGCUGCUUUAAGAAGCUCGCAUUCGUAAUCGCUCAAAGGUGGAAUACCCAAAUAUCUCUGAAUUCCAUUAGGACCUAAUUCCAAGGGAGCAGCGAAAUAUAUCUAAUUAUGAAAAAUAUUGCGUAUUUGAUGUACACUCCCGUCCGUAAAACAGGAAACACUUGCUAAUCUUCAUCAUGAGAUGAAAAACAACACACAUAAAUAAAGAAUGGCUUUGAAAAACUUGAUAAACUAAGAAUUCUGUAAUUUACGGACGGUAGUGUAACAAUACCUUUACAUAGAGACAUGCAAAAUCUUGCAGCCGCAAAAGACAGAGUUAAAAAUGUUUUCUCUUUAACUUUGCUUGAUGUCAGUAACUCUUCGUUGGGUAUUCUUACGGCCUGUGUCAAUCUGCUAGCCUCUAUCUAAUUAAUUAAUGGACUGAUCGAUUACUCGGUGAUAAUCAAAAAGGCACUGUGAAACGUUUAGUGAAAUUUUUACAACCUGAGAUAAUUCGGUGGAAGGUUUUGCCUGAGAGAAAAGUGGAAUACACGUUUUCGGACAACCUCCGCCAAUUACAGCCUUUUUAUACAUUUCCAUUGCCAGAGGUAUUAAACUAUUUAUCGGAUUCAUUACGACUGCGACCAUAGCCUAAAGUAAAAAAGGCCAGAGAUAUUCACCAUAGAAGUCGACAUUGAAAUUGAUGCCUUGCAGAUCGGACCUUAAAAAGGUUUACAAAGCUAAAUUUGGUCGGAAAUAAAAUAGACAAGGCACGAAAAGGAACACAUCAUCGACAUCGCUAUAAAGGAAAUGGUAUGUAGAUGACCAAAGACAAAUAUCCUUGUCCUUGUCUGAAAUCGUCACGAAGAAUGUCGAAAACAACCUGCUUGUAAUUGAUGAAGCUGUGAGGGCGUUAAAAGCCGAGGUCAGCUACUACAUAUAAAAAAACGGCGGCCAACCAUCUAGAAAACAUGGCGUUGUACCAUUAUACGAAUCUAUAACGCAUCUUUAUUGUCUCAGUUAUAAGCCUAAAUACCCUAUAAAACAUCCAUUUAUUACUGAAAUAAAAUGCUACAAAAUUUUACUGCAAA